GACGAACGCUGGCGGCGUGCUUAACACAUGCAAGUCGAACGGAAAGGCCCUGCUUUUGUGGGGUGCUCGAGUGGCGAACGGGUGAGUAACACGUGAGUAACCUGCCCUUGACUUUGGGAUAACUUCAGGAAACUGGGGCUAAUACCGGAUAGGAGCUCCUGCUGCAUGGUGGGGGUUGGAAAGUUUCGGCGGUUGGGGAUGGACUCGCGGCUUAUCAGCUUGUUGGUGGGGUAGUGGCUUACCAAGGCUUUGACGGGUAGCCGGCCUGAGAGGGUGACCGGCCACAUUGGGACUGAGAUACGGCCCAGACUCCUACGGGAGGCAGCAGUGGGGAAUAUUGCACAAUGGGCGGAAGCCUGAUGCAGCAACGCCGCGUGCGGGGUGACGGCCUUCGGGUUGUAAACCGCCUUCGCCUGUGACGAAGCGUGAGUGACGGUAAUGGGUAAAGAAGCACCGGCUAACUACGUGCCAGCAGCCGCGGUGAUACGUAGGGUGCGAGCGUUGUCCGGAUUUAUUGGGCGUAAAGGGCUCGUAGGUGGUUGAUCGCGUCGGAAGUGUAAUCUUGGGGCUUAACCCUGAGCGUGCUUUCGAUACGGGUUGACUUGAGGAAGGUAGGGGAGAAUGGAAUUCCUGGUGGAGCGGUGGAAUGCGCAGAUAUCAGGAGGAACACCAGUGGCGAAGGCGGUUCUCUGGGCCUUUCCUGACGCUGAGGAGCGAAAGCGUGGGGAGCGAACAGGCUUAGAUACCCUGGUAGUCCACGCUGUAAACGGUGGGUACUAGGUGUGGGGUCCAUUCCACGGGUUCCGUGCCGUAGCUAACGCUUUAAGUACCCCGCCUGGGGAGUACGGCCGCAAGGCUAAAACUCAAAGGAAUUGACGGGGCCCCGCACAAGCGGCGGAGCAUGCGGAUUAAUUCGAUGCAACGCGUAGAACCUUACCUGGGUUUGACAUGGAUCGGGAGUGCUCAGAGAUGGGUGUGCCUCUUUUGGGGUCGGUUCACAGGUGGUGCAUGGCUGUCGUCAGCUCGUGUCGUGAGAUGUUGGGUUAAGUCCCGCAACGAGCGCAACCCUUGUUCACUGUUGCCAGCACGUUAUGGUGGGGACUCAGUGGAGACCGCCGGGGUCAACUCGGAGGAAGGUGGGGAUGACGUCAAGUCAUCAUGCCCCUUAUGUCCAGGGCUUCACGCAUGCUACAAUGGCUGGUACAGAGAGUGGCGAGCCUGUGAGGGUGAGCGAAUCUCGGAAAGCCGGUCUCAGUUCGGAUUGGGGUCUGCAACUCGACCUCAUGAAGUCGGAGUCGCUAGUAAUCGCAGAUCAGCAACGCUGCGGUGAAUACGUUCCCGGG
rnacentral:rRNA from 1 species